GAUGAAGAACGCAGCGAAAUGCGAUAAGUAAUGUGAAUUGCAGAAUUCAGUGAAUCAUCGAAUCUUUGAACGCACAUUGCGCCCGCCAGUAUUCUGGCGGGCAUGCCUGUUCGAGCGUCAUUUCAACCAUCAAGCCCCCCGGCUUGUAUUGGGGACCUGCGGCUGCCGCAGGCCCUGAAAAGCAGUGGCGGGCUCGCUGUCACACCGAGCGUAGUAGAUCUCAUCUCGCUCAGGGCGUGCUGCGGGUUCCGGCCGUUAAACCACCUUCAUAACCCAAGGUUGACCUCGGAUCAGGUAGGAAGACCCGCUGAACUUAAGCAUAUCAAUAAGCGGAGGA
rnacentral:misc_RNA from 1 species